rnacentral:misc_RNA from 1 species
GAUGAAGAACGUAGUAAAAUGCGAUAAGUAAUGUGAAUUGCAGAAUUCAGUGAAUCAUCGAAUCUUUGAACGCACAUUGCGCCCGCCAGUAUUCUGGCGGGCAUGCCUGUUCGAGCGUCAUUACAACCCUCAGGCCCCCGGGCCUGGCGUUGGGGAUCGGCGGAGCCCCCCGUGGGCACACGCCGUCCCCCAAAUGCAGUGGCGGUCCCGCCGCAGCUUCCAUCGCGUAGUAGCUAACACCUCGCGACUGGAGAGCGGCGCGGCCACGCCGUAAAACACCCAACUCUUCUGAAGUUGACCUCGAAUCAGGUAGGAAUACCCGCUGAACUUAAGCAUAUCAAUAAGCGGAGGA